rnacentral:rRNA from 1 species
GAUGAACGCUGGCGGCGUGCCCAAUACAUGCAAGUCGAGCGAACAGACGAGGAGCUUGCUCCUCUGACGUUAGCGGCGGACGGGUGAGUAACACGUGGAUAACCUACCUAUAAGACUGGGAUAACUUCGGGAAACCGGAGCUAAUACCGGAUAAUAUAUUGAACCGCAUGGUUCAAUAGUGAAAGACGGUUUUGCUGUCACUUAUAGAUGGAUCCGCGCCGCAUUAGCUAGUUGGUAAGGUAACGGCUUACCAAGGCAACGAUGCGUAGCCGACCUGAGAGGGUGAUCGGCCACACUGGAACUGAGACACGGUCCAGACUCCUACGGGAGGCAGCAGUAGGGAAUCUUCCGCAAUGGGCGAAAGCCUGACGGAGCAACGCCGCGUGAGUGAUGAAGGUCUUCGGAUCGUAAAACUCUGUUAUUAGGGAAGAACAAAUGUGUAAGUAACUAUGCACGUCUUGACGGUACCUAAUCAGAAAGCCACAGCUAACUACGUG